GGCAUGGGUUCGAGUCCCACCAUGGUCGAAUAAUUUUCGCUAUGCGCCAGGUUAAUUUUCGAUUGUCUUCGACUGUGAGGACUCGACUCAUUGCCGAACAAACAUUGGCUGUACAUGAUAUUCAUAGAGACCAGCUGGACUACACUAGCAAGAGUAAAAAAAAAAAAAAAAAGUGUAUUUUAGUGUUAUGUCCUGCGAGGUUACUAGAUUCGCCGAUGAUGACACCUCGUGGACAAGUGGGUUGUUUAUUGUCACGCGGGAUUUUAUUUUAUAAUUUAAUUUGAAAUAUACUUAAAAAUGACUGAUUGAGAUUGUGUGGCAAGGUAUGAUUUUAAAUGAUAAGAGUUCAAUUGAACUUAAUGUUGAUGUUUAUUUAGAAAUCGGAGAGAUGGAGUGAAUAGUUACAGCUCUCGGGGAGAAGUGAAGUCACAAAGUCUCAACUCUGACUGCUCAGCUUCACGUUCCCCCACUAUGGUUACACGUAUACACCUAUACUAUUGCUAGAACUACCCUUAUACAUAGUGCGUAAUAUACUAUCUUACAUGUACUUAUAUAAACUUAUUUAUAUAUAACACUUAUUAUUUGCGGCUGCGGCCGGCUUACAUAUUCAUGUACCUGUAUUUACCUGGCUUUAAAUUCAGCACAGCGACCUAGGGAAACCGCAGAAAACCUGGUCGAGGCUUUUAAGGUAUUAUCUGCUCAAUAAAUUAUAUCAGAUGCGGAA